GCACAGUCCGAAGUUCAGCCUCUAGUUCGUGUUGUUGUUCUCUUGAUCCACCGCAAACGGGUUAAUUACUAACACCUUCGCUCCCGGUGGCCUGCGAUGCACAUUACUACCGCCAGGUGGCCACCGACAGGUUUGCCUCAUAUUGGUUUGACCCAUAGAGAAUGAUAAAGGACUCUAGCGGUCAAAAAGUCAUUUUAGCAAUGGGCGGCGCCAUUUAGGGCUUCCACCGUACUUCUGCCAUUUAAAGUAGUCAGCUGGAUGGGGAUUCCUAUGGGUUGUAGCCUCAAUGGUGCGGCCCAUGCUGUCACAGGCACUAUAAUGGCACAGAUAUAAAAGACGAGUCCUCUAUCUAUCUCUAUGGUUUGACCGCUAUUUGAGUUUUCUGGGCUUAUUAAGAUGUGUCCUAUUGAAGAAUUCCAGAGGAACCUGCUGAGGCGAAAGCGGCUCUUAGUAAUGUCUGGAACAGAGCGAAUGGAAUGGCAUCAAACCAAUGUGUUAGAUGUAUUUGAUACUGUUCAACUUAUUCCGUAGCACGAGUAUGUCCUCCCCAUGACACCAACCUCCUGUGGUAUGUGAUAUUAUUGAGGUAAUACAUUGGGCGGUGGGUUUUUGGUUGGCGAGGGUAUGGUGCAGACCGGCUCCCACUCACAUUUUGGCAGUAAAAAUUGUGUUGUAACUUUGAACUUUUACUUGUUUCAAUGUGUGUUGUACACAGAUUUGUUGAGAUUAGCUCAGUACCAGGCCUUACAAUGCAGCAGUGUUGCUGAAACAGCUUAACACAUCAAGUGACCGGAGGUCUACAAGUCCUUCCCUCUCCUUCCCUCUCCUUCCCUCUCCCACAUCCGUCUCUCCAACAUUCAGACUGACAACGUACUUUCCCUUAUCGCACAUAGUUUGGUGAGGAGAACACCCUCGUUCUAAUAACUGGAGCAGAAUCAGACAUCAAACACGUGGUUUCCAUGGUUUCCAGGUGGUUCAUUCCAUUCCAUUCGCUCUGUUCCGGUUAUUAUUAAGAGCCGUUCAAAGUUUAUAUAUGACUCUGUUAAUUACCAACAUCUUACUUCCUCUCUCUCUCUCUCCCCAUCUUCUGCUGAACUUUACCCCCACUAGCACCAUGUCUUCAGAUAGUGGAUCCAUGAGCUAAUAUCUAUAAGAAUUGUCUCUCUGGAUAGUUUGUUAUCAAGUAGAUAUGUGAUCGAUAUGUGUCACUAUCAGGGUUUUGGAAAGUUGACAUGUAAAGCAAACAGAGAAAGUGACAGUAGUU
ensembl:lncRNA